rnacentral:rRNA from 1 species
GCCUUCGCCACGCCCGCUCAAGAAACUACAAAGGAAUUGACGGGACCCCCGCACAAGCGGUGGAUCAUGUUGUUUAAUUCGAUGAUACGCGAAGAACCUUACCAGGUCUUGACAUCCCCCGCGAUGCUUUAGAGAUAAAGCGGAGGUAUUCGGGGAGACAGGUGGUGCAUGGUUGUCGUCAGCUCGUGUCGUGAGAUGUUGGGUUAAGUCCCGCAACGAGCGCAACCCUACGCUGAGUUACCAGCACGUAAAGGUGGGGACUCUCAGUGGACUGCCGGCGACAAGCCGGAGGAGGUGGGGACGACGUCAAGUCAUCAUGGCCCUCAUGUCCAGGGCGACACACGUGCUACAAUGGCCGGCACAACGGGAAGCGACGGCGCGAGUCGUAGCGGAUCCCUCAAAGCCGGUCCCAGUUCGGAUUGCAGUCUGCAACUCGACUGCAUGAAGCCGGAAUCGCUAGUAAUCGUGAAUCAGAAUGUCACGGUGAAUACGUUCCCGGGCCUU